GCGGAUGUGGCUCAGUGGUAGAGCAUCACCUUGCCAAGGUGAGGGUCGCGGGUUCGAAUCCCGUCAUCCGCUC
rnacentral:tRNA from 6 species